AACCACCAAUCUUUAACUCAUUGAUCAAAAAAGAAAAAGAAAAAGGAGAAGAAGAAGAAGAAUUAAAGUGCAUUAAAUGAAAUGGAAAGAGAUAAUCAACAAGCUAUGACCAAAGAUAGAGAAGAUCAAGGUCAAACAAUAGAAAACUGAAGCAAAAUGAGAAUUAGAAGUCAAGAAACAAAUAAAAUAUUUUUAGCAUUUUUAAUAUU
rnacentral:lncRNA from 1 species